rnacentral:rRNA from 1 species
AUGGUUGUCGUCAGCUCGUGUCGUGUGAUGUUGGGUUAAGUCCCGCAACGAGCGCUAACCCCUAUUGUUAGUUGCCAUCAUUCAGUUGGGCACUCUAGCGAGACUGCCGGUAAUAAACCGGAGGAAGUGGGGAUGACGUCAAAUCGUCAUGCCCCUUAUGACCUGGGCUACACACGUGCUACAAUGGUUGGUACAACGAGUUGCGAGUCGGUGACGGCGAGCUAAUACUCUUAAAGCCAAUCUCAGUUCGGAUUGUAGGCUGCAACUCGCCUACAUGAAGUCGGAAUCGCUAGUAAUCGCGGAUCAGCACGCCGCGGUGAAUACGUUCCCGGGCCUU